rnacentral:rRNA from 1 species
AGUGAACGCUGGCGGUAGGCCUAACACAUGCAAGUCGAACGGCAGCACAGUAAGAGCUUGCUCUUACGGGUGGCGAGUGGCGGACGGGUGAGGAAUACAUCGGAAUCUACUUUUUCGUGGGGGAUAACGUAGGGAAACUUACGCUAAUACCGCAUACGACCUACGGGUGAAAGCAGGGGAUCUUCGGACCUUGCGCGAUUGAAUGAGCCGAUGUCGGAUUAGGUAGUUGGCGGGGUAAAGGCCCACCAAGGCGACGAUCCGUAGCUGGACUGAGAAGAUGAUCAGCCAAACUGGAACCGAGACACGGGCCCAAAUCCUACGGGAGGGAGCAGUGGGGAAAAUUGGACAAAGGGCGGAAACCUGGACCAGCCAUCCCGCGUGGGUGGAGGAGGCCUUCGGGUUGUAAAGCCCUUUUGUUGGGAAAGAAAAGCAGCAGGUUAAUACCCCGCUGGUCUGACGGUACCCUAAGAAUAAGCACCGGCUAACUUCGUG